AUUGAACGCUGGCGGCAUGCCUUACACAUGCAAGUCGAACGGUAACAGGUCUUCGGAUGCUGACGAGUGGCGAAAGGGGGAGUAAUACAUCGGAACGUGCCCGCGAGUGGGGGAUAACGAGGCGAAAGCUUUGCUAAUACAGCAUACGAUCCCAGGAUGAAAGCAGGGGACCGCAAGGCACCUCCCUCACGGAGCGGCUGAUGGCAGAUGAGGUAGUUGGUGGGAUAAAAGCUUACCAAGCCGACGAUCUGUAGCUGGUCUGAGAGGACGACCAGCCACACUGGGACUGAGACACGGCCCAGAGUCCUACGGGAGGCAGCAGUGGGGAAUUUUGGACAAUGGGCGCAAGCCUGAUCCAGCCAUGCCGCGUGCAGGAUGAAGGCCUUCGGGUUGUAAACUGCUUUUGUACGGAACGAAAAGACUCCUUCUAAUAAAGGGGGUCCAUGACGGUACCGUAAGAAUAAGCACCGGCUAACUACGUGCCAGCCGCCGCAGUAACAC
rnacentral:rRNA from 1 species